rnacentral:rRNA from 1 species
UGCAUGGCCGUCGUCAGCUCGUGUCGUGAGAUGUUGGGUUAAGUCCCGCAACGAGCGCAACCCUUGUCAUUAGUUGCCAUCAUUUAGUUGGGCACUCUAAUGAGACUGCCGGUGACAAACCGGAGGAAGGUGGGGGAUGACGUCAAGUCCUCAUGGCCCUUAUGGGUAGGGCUUCACACGUCAUACAAUGGUCGGUACAGAGGGUUGCCAAGCCGCGAGGUGGAGCCAAUCCCUUAAAGCCGAUCGUAGUCCGGAUCGUAGUCUGCAACUCGACUACGUGAAUCGGAAUCGCUAGUAAUCGCAGAUCAGCAUGCUGCGGUGAAUACGUUCCCGGGUCUU